UUCCGGUUGAUCCUGCCGGACCUGACUGCUAUCGGAUUGAUACUAAGCCAUGCGAGUCUUUGCAGUAAUGCAAGGCAUACGGCUCAGUAACACGUAGUCAACUUACCCUAUGGACGAGGAUAAUCUCGGGAAACUGAGCAUAAUACUCGAUAGAUCAUAAUGCCUGGAAUGGUUUAUGGUUAAAAUGAUUCGUCGCCAUAGGAUGGGACUGCGGCCUAUCAGCUUGUUGGUGAGGUAAUGGCCCACCAAGGCGAUUACAGGUACGGGCUCUGAGAGGAGAAGCCCGGAGAUGGGUACUGAGACAAGGACCCAGGCCCUAUGGGGCGCAGCAGGCGAGAAAACUUUGCAAUGUGCGAAAGCACGACAAGGUUAAUCCGAGUGAUUUCUGCUAAAGAAAUCUUUUGCAAGUCAUAAAACCACUAGUGAAUAAGGGGUGGGCAAGUUCUGGUGUCAGCCGCCGCGGUAAAACCAGCACCUCAAGUGGUCAGGAGGAUUAUUGGGCCUAAAGCAUCCGUAGCCUGCUCUGUUAGUUUUCGGUUAAAUCCAUGUGCUCAACACAUGGGCUGCCGAAAAUACUGCAGGGCUAGGGAGUGGGAGAGGUAGACGGUACUCAGUAGGAAGGGGUAAAAUCCUUUGAUCUAUUGAUGACCACCUGUGGCGAAGGCGGUCUACCAGAACACGUUCGACGGUGAGGGAUGAAAGCUGGGGGAGCAAACCGGAUUAGAUACCCGGGUAGUCCCAGCUGUAAACGAUGCAGACUCGAUGAUGCAUUGGCUUAUUGCCAAUGCAGUGUCGCAGGGAAGCCGUUAAGUCUGCCGCCUGGGAAGUACGUACGCAAGUAUGAAACUUAAAGGAAUUGGCGGGGGAGCACCACAAGGGGUGAAGCCUGCGGUUCAAUUGGAGUCAACGCCGGG
rnacentral:rRNA from 1 species